AAUAGAAUGCCUGAAUAAAGGAUUAUUUUGAUAGAAUAAAUUAUGUAAAAAAUUUACUUCUAUUG
rnacentral:tRNA from 1 species